AGUGGAAAAGAGGUAAAGCAUCUGGUAAGGGUAAGUUUUCGUGGCCAUCUGGAGCUACAUUUGAAGGUGAAUUUAAGUCGGGGCGUAUGGAGGGUUCAGGUACCUUUAUUGGAUCCGAUGGGGAUAUGUACAAAGGUUCAUGGUCCGGUGAUCGGAAACAUGGGUAUGGGCAGAAACACUAUAGCAACGGGGAUUACUAUGAAGGGCUAUGGAAAAGGAAU
rnacentral:misc_RNA from 1 species